rnacentral:rRNA from 1 species
CCUACGGGAGGCAGCAGUGAGGAAUAUUGGUCAAUGGGCGCGAGCCUGAACCAGCCAAGUAGCGUGAAUGAUGACUGCCCUACGGGUUGUAAACUUCUUUUAUAGAGGAAUAAAGUGAGGCACGUGUGCCUUUUUGUAUUUAUUUUAUGAAUAAGGAUCGGCUAACUCCGUGCCAGCAGCCGCGGUAAUACGGAGGAUCCGAGCGUUAUCCGGAUUUAUUGGGUGUAAAGGGAGCGUAGAUGGGUUGUUAAGUCAGUUGUGAAAGUUUGCGGCUCAACCGUAAAAUUGCAAUUGAUACUGGCAGCCUUGAGUACAGUUGAGGUAGGCGGAAUUCGUGGUGUAGCGGUGAAAUGCUUAGAUAUGACGAAGAACUCCGAUUGCGAAGGCAGCCUACUAAACUAACACUGACAUUGAUGCUCGAAAGUGUGGGUAUCAAACAGGAUUAGAUACCCCAGUAGUC